rnacentral:RNase_P_RNA from 1 species
GGAGUUGGCCAGACAGUCGCUCUUCCCCUGAGUGGGGAGGGAGGAAAGUCCGGACUCCAUAGGGCAGGGUGCCAGGUAACGCCUGGGCGGCGUGAGCCGACGGCAAGUGCAGCAGAGAGAAGACCGCCGAUGGUCCUCAGGGAUCAGGUAAGGGUGAAAGGGUGCGGUAAGAGCGCACCGCACCGCUGGUAACAGUUGGUGGCAAGGUAAACCCCACCCGGAGCAAGACCAAAUAGGGGAGCUGAGGUGCGGCCCGCACUGCUCCCGGGUAGGUUGCUAGAGGUCGAUGGUGACAUCGAUCCCAGAUGAAUGGCUGUCUACGACAGAAUCCGGCUUAUCGGCCAACUCCCCCC